AUUUGUAUAGUAUAACUCUUAUUUUUAAUUUCCAAUUAAAAGAUCUAAAUAAUUUAGUACAAAUA
rnacentral:tRNA from 1 species